ACGUUGAAGACUACGACGUUGAUAGGCCGGAUGUGUAAGCGCAGCGAUGCGUUGAGCUAACCGGUACUAAUGACCCGUGAGGCUUAACCUUACAACGCCAGAGGCGUUUUG
rnacentral:rRNA from 1 species